rnacentral:rRNA from 1 species
GACGAACGCUGGCGGCGUGCUUAACACAUGCAAGUCGAACGGAAAGGCCCUGCUUUUGUGGGGUGCUCGAGUGGCGAACGGGUGAGUAAAACGUGAGUAACCUGCCCUUGACUUUGGGAUAACUUCAGGAAACUGGGGCUAAUACCGGAUAGGAGCUCCUGCUGCAUGGUGGGGGUUGGAAAGUUUCGGCGGUUGGGGAUGGACUCGCGGCUUAUCAGCUUGUUGGUGGGGUAGGGGCUUACCAAGGCUUUGACGGGUAGCCGGCCUGAGAGGGUGACCGGCCACAUUGGGCCUGAGAUACGGCCCAGACUCCUACGGGAGGCAGCAGUGGGGAAUAUUGCACAAUGGGCGGAAGCCUGAUGCAGCAACGCCGCGUGCGGGAUGACGGCCUUCUGGUUGUAAACCGCUUUCGCCUGUGACGAAGCGUGAGUGACGGUAAUGGGUAAAGAAGCACCGGCUAACUACGUG